ACCUGACUGCUAUCGGAUUGAUACUAAGCCAUGCGAGUCAUUGUAGCAAUACAAGGCAUACGGCUCAGUAACGCGUAGUCAACCUAACCUAUGGACGGGAAUAACCUCGGGAAACUGAGAAUAAUGCCCGAUAGAACACUAUACCUGGAAUGGUUUGUGUUCCAAAUGAUUUAUCGCCAUAGGAUGGGACUGCGGCCUAUCAGUUUGUUGGUGAGGUAAUGGCCCACCAAGACUAUUACAGGUACGGGCUCUGAGAGGAGUAGCCCGGAGAUGGGUACUGAGACACGGACCCAGGCCCUAUGGGGCGCAGCAGGCGAGAAAACUUUGCAAUGUGCGAAAGCACGACAAGGUUAAUCCGAGUGAUUUCUGCUAAAGAGAUCUUUUGUUAGUCCUAGAAACACUAACGAAUAAGGGGUGGGCAAGUUCUGGUGUCAGCCGCCGCGGUAAAACCAGCACCUCAAGUGGUCAGGAUGAUUAUUGGGCCUAAAGCAUCCGUAGCCGGCUCUGUAAGUUUUCGGUUAAAUCUGUACGCUCAACGUACAGGCUGCCGGGAAUACUGCAGAACUAGGGAGUGGGAGAGGUAGACGGUACUCGGUAGGAAGUGGUAAAAUGCUUUGAUCUAUCGAUGACCACCUGUGGCGAAGGCGGUCUACCAGAACACGUCCGACGGUGAGGGAUGAAAGCUGGGGGAGCAAACCGGAUUAGAUACCCGGGUAGUCCCAGCUGUAAGCUAUGCAAACUCAGUGAUGCAUUGGCUUGUGGCCAAUGCAGUGCUGCAGGGAAGCCGUUAAGUUUGCCGCCUGGGAAGUACGUACGCAAGUAUGAAACUUAAAGGAAUUGGCGGGGGAGCACCACNAGGGGUGAAGCCUGCGGUUC
rnacentral:rRNA from 1 species